UGGGGAAUAUUGGACAAUGGGCGCAAGCCUGAUGCAGCCAUGCCGCGUGAGUGAAGAAGGCCCUAGGGUUGUAAAGCUCUUUCACCGGUGAAGAUAAUGACGGUAACCGGAGAAGAAGCCCCGGCUAACUUCGUGCCAGCAGCCGCGGUAAUACGAAGGGGGCUAGCGUUGUUCGGAAUUACUGGGCGUAAAGCGCGCGUAGGCGGACUGGUCAGUUGGGGGUGAAAUCCCGGGGCUUAACCCCGGAACUGCCUUCAAUACUGCCAGUCUUGAGUCCGGAAGAGGUGAGUGGAAUUCCGAGUGUAGAGGUGAAAUUCGUAGAUAUUCGGAGGAACACCAGUGGCGAAGGCGGCUCACUGGCUCGAUACUGACGCUGAGGUGCGAAAGUGUGGGGAGCAAACAGGAUUAGAUACCCCUGUAGUCC
rnacentral:rRNA from 1 species